CUUGCGCAUUGUGAAGAAGCGAAGACUAACCUGACGGCGGCGGAUGCAUCGGACAACAACGUUGAUUUCUGCAAGUUUAGUAGCCAAUACAUAUUUUGCUUGAAUAGCAAUAAAAUAUACUGCACAGGAAAUGAUUAUAUGACGGCCAAUUCGACACUUGCAAAUACUCUGACCAUGUACUAUGCCAACUGCGGAUUAACAGAAAACGAUAUAACAACCUGUUCAACUGCACUAUCGGGAGAGUGUUCUACAGAAAUUAAUACAGCAACCAGUCUUUAUUUCAAGGGCAAAAUUAUCCAGUAUUGC